UACGUAGGGGGCUAGCGUUGUCCGGAAUCAUUGGGCGUAAAGCGCGCGUAGGCGGCCCGGUAAGUCCGCUCUGAAAGUCCAGGGCUCAACCCUGGAAUGCGGGUGGAUACUGCCGGGCUAGAGUCCGGAAGAGGCGAGUGGAAUUCCUGGUGUAGCGGUGGAAUGUGCAGAUAUCAGGAGGAACACCAAUAGCGAAGGCAGCUCGCUGGGACGGUACUGACGCUAAGGCGCGAAAGCGUGGGGAGCGAACAGG
rnacentral:rRNA from 1 species